rnacentral:rRNA from 1 species
GACGAACGCUGGCGGCGUGCUUAACACAUGCAAGUCGCACGAAGUGGCGAACGGGUGAGUAACGCGUAAUCAACCUGCCCUUCAGAGGGGGACAACAGUUGGAAACGACUGCUAAUACCGCAUACUGAAGGAGGGGAUUGCGUCUGAUUAGCUAGUUGGAGGGGUAACGGCCCACCAAGGCGAUGAUCAGUAGCCGGCCUCAGAGGAUAAAGGGCCACAUUGGGACUGAGACACGGCCCAGACGCCUACGGGAGGCAGCAGUGGGGAAUCUUCCGCAAGGGACGAAAGUCUGACGGAGCAACGCCGCGUGAGUGAUGACGGCCUUCGGUUUGUAAAGCUCUGUUAAUCGGUACGCGGUACCGGAAGAAAAAGCCACGGCUAACUACGUGCCAGCAGCCGCGUUAAUA